rnacentral:rRNA from 1 species
UGCCGCAGCUAACGCAUUAAGUAUUCCACCUGGGGAGUACGAUCGCAAGGUUGAAACUCAAAGGAAUUGACGGGGGCCCGCACAAGCAGUGGAGCAUGUGGUUUAAUUCGAUGCAACGCGAAGAACCUUACCUAGGCUUGAAAGGCAAGUGACAGGGUAUGAAAGUACCACUCCAGCAAUGGCACUUGUACAGGUGAUGCAUGGCUGUCGUCAGCUAGUGCCGUGAGGUGUUGGGUUAAGUCCCGCAACGAGCGCAACCCCUACUAUUAGUUGCCACCAGGUUAUGCUGAGCACUCUAAUAGGACUGCCUACGCAAGUAGUGAGGAAGGUGGGGAUGACGUCAAGUCCGCAUGGCCCUUACGCCUAGGGCCUCACACGUGCUACAAUGGGUGUUACAAUGGGUAGCGAAAC